rnacentral:lncRNA from 1 species
AUGGACUCAGCAGGUUCCGCCCGGGAAGUUGAUUUUGCUCGCAUCCAAGGUCUGGUGGACUGGAUUUCCCACACCGAUGAUGUUCGGGCCAUGACUGUGGGAAUCAAAGCCAUUGAAGCCAUCCUCGAGAAUAACCCCCACUUUGGUCAACUCAGAGGAUUUAUGGACUCACUAAACAUGAUACGUGAGGCCCGGGAGGUACUGCAAGCCCGGGAGAUAGGCAUUUUCGCCCGCUCCCUGUAUUCAGUGCCGAAGCCACCACCGCUGCAGCAUCAGAUGGAGCUCUCUGCAACGCAGCAGCGGCCAUUAAAGCGGAGGGGGGUUUCCACGCCACGGCCGCGGAAUUCUUCACUCUCCACGUCCAGCUCUGACUACUGCUCGCCUGCCUCUUUCCUCGCAGCGAUGUGGUCAGAGGAGGAGUCAGAUUCGACCUCUCCGUCAUUACCGACAACCGCCAAUAUCUCCGCUCCCAUUUCCAGGGGGAAGCGGCGGCAGCACAGGCAGCGAAAGGUGCCACCGCCAGAACCCAGGACCUCGCCAUUGCAAACACCUUUGGUGAGUGUAAGUGAUACUGAACAGUUUACUGGGUCUGAAGGCCCAAGGUCUGAUUAUGUUAUGGCUGAGAAGAAAAAGACUGCUUCCUUGGAAACAAAGAUUUCCCAUUUGGGUAACCUAAAAGACUGUUCUCCUCAUGCUCCCCCUAGCCAUACACAUGCAAAGAACUGUGGUAAUUCUGUUCCGUUUGAGCCUGGACUAAUUAACUCCAUGUCUGCUAGCUCAGAGGAUGUUAAGUCAGAGAUUAUUAAUUCUGAGAUUGUUUUUCCAAAAGCUGCCCAGCCAGAAGCUCACUUAGCUGCCCAGCCUCCAGAAGCUCCAUUUUCACCCCUACCAUCGCUUCAGUCAUCAGUUCGGUCUGCCACUCAGCUGCCCUUAGCGCCAUUAUCCACACUACCACCUGUUUCUCUUCCACCUCAACCAUUACUACACUCAGCCAUUCAGGCUGCUACUCAGUCAAUCAUUCAACCUAUUGCCCUGCCAUUAAGGCACUCUGUAGCUGAGCCAUUAGCCGCCCGGCCCGCAGCCGAUUCCGCCACUUCUCCACCCGUUACACCUCCACCACAACCAUCACUGCAGUCCCCAGUUCCUGUCCAGUCACCUGCAGUUCAGCCUUCCCCAGUGCAGUCACCUGCAGUUCAGCCUUCCCCAGUGCAGUCACCUGCAGUUCAGCCUUCCCCAGUGCAGUCACCUGCAGUUCAGCCUUCCCCAGUGCAGUCACCUACUUCACCACCGUUAGCAGCCAAGCUCCCACCUGAACCAUUAGCCCAGGUCCCUGUAGCCGCUCAGUCCCCUAGUCAGCGACACAUUAGCUCACCUGGUCCUCUACACAUUCAGCCAAGGGUCCCUAUACCCUCUGGCUCUACAGCAACACUUGCUGGAAGCUCAGAUGAGUUCAUCCUGCACUCCGCGGCUCCCACGCCGCCACCUGUCUCCGCUGGAGGGUCCGAGGGGCCCGUUCAGCCACCUGUCUCCGCUGGAGGGUCCGAGGGGCCCGUUCAGCCACCUGUCUCCGCUGGAGGGUCCGAGGGGCCCGUUCAGCCACCUGUUUCCGCUGGAGGGUCCGAGGGACCGCUCCGGCCUUCGUCUCAUGUCUCCGCUGGAGGGUCCGAGGGGCCCGUUCAGCAACCCGUCUCCGCUGGAGGGUCCGAGGGGCCCGUUCAGCAACCCGUCUCCGCUGGAGGGUCCGAGGGACCGCUCCGGCCUUCGUCUCAUGUCUCCGCUGGAGGGUCCGAGGGGCCCGUUCAGCAACCCGUCUCCACUGGAGGGUCCAAGGGACCGCUCCGGCCUGCAGCACCGCCGCCUCCGGCUACCACACCAGCUGCAGCCUCUUCAGCGUCAUCAGCUUCGCCUGGUCCAGCUUCGGCCUCCACCUCGUCUGGUCCAGCCUCCGCUCCUUCUCCAUCCUCGCCAGCUGCAGCCUCCGAGUCUUCAGCGUCGCCUGGUCCAGCUCGGGCCUCAGCGUCGCCUGCAGCAGCCUCCUCAUCAGCUGCAUCACCCACGCCGACGCCUGCAGCUGUUUCACCCACGCCGUCUCCGGCAGCGCCACCGUCUCCGGCUUCCACGCCGUCGCCUGCAGCGCCAUUCUCAUCUGGUCCAGCCUUCGAGCCUUCAGCCUCAUCUUCGCCUGGUCCAGCCUCUGCUUCGGCUUCGCCGCCCACGCCUGGUCCGGCCUCUGCUUCGGCUUCAACGUUGCCUGGUCCUGUGGCUGCCACGCCACCGUCUGGUCCUGCCUCGUCUAGUCCUACGCCCACCAAGCCUCGACCAGUACGCCCAACGCUUGAGAGCCGCCGCCGUCUUCCGCGCGGCCGGCCUCCGGACCCGCUCUGCUGCCGCCGCCGUCUUCCGCGCGGCCGGCCUCCGGACCCGCUCUGCUGCCGCCGCCGUCUUCUGCGCGGCCGGCCUCCGGACCCGCUCUGCUGCCACUUCUCACGUGGCCGGCCCCCUGAACUGACCUGUGUUUGGACUGCUUGCUUGGGCUCCGGUGUUUCCUGUGCCCUGCUUUUGUUUUCUGUUCCGUGCCCUCCGUCCUGGACCCCCGCCGCCCGCCCUGGGUUGUUUUCUGUUUGGUUUUGUUUUCUGUGUUUGGGCUGUCUGGUGCCAGCCCUUAAGGGGGGGGUCCUGUCAGGGUCCUGGGUCCCCUGA